UAACGAACGUGGGCACAGUAAUUUCGCUGCGUUUUUCUGUCACGUCUGUCGUCUCCAUUUUUCCUGCUUUUGUAAGCCGAGCGACGUGGCUAAUCUGAGUGAUUGCGCUUGCAAGACGAGAGAGACGGAGAGAGCGGGGAUAAGAAAAAGCAAAGAAAGGCAGCGAAGAAAGAAGGUUCGAGCUGCACCCUGUCACCUGUUUAAGCUUCAUCCGCGCUCCUGGCGAAAGGGAAAGUCAAUAGAGGAACGAAGGAAAGGGGGUGAGGGUGAGAGACAAGGAGCAGAUCCUGAGCUUUCUCCAGAUGAUCUCCACAUUACCGCCGGCCUCUGAUAAUUCCUAAGCCUCCUCCAUUUCAGAUCCGAUACCGGAUAAGAGCGCAUUUCGGCAUGAUCAACUGCAAUCUGUUCCCUCACACCGCUACUUUACUCCAACUCGGGAUUACUGCACACACUCACUCUUACACGUACAAAGUCAUGCUUGUGGUGUCCUAAAGAGGAUGAGGAAAGGCGGAUGGUGAAAUCCUGUCUGCAACCCUGACUAGAGCUUUUAGAAGAAUUAAACAGAAUAGAUUACAUAAACUUCUAAGGCAUAAGACGUUUAAUAUUGUCAUCAUAUUAUUAUUCUCAUUAUUACAAGUACCACUACAUUUAAAUGAUUUAUCCAAAAACUAUAACAUGCACUCAAAAUGGCAGCACAGAUAGGUGCUUGAUGACUGUUCAAUUUUGCUUUAUGUGUCAUGCUAGCACACUUUUACAGUAAGUUUGGUUGCAAAAGUAAUUUUUCCC
rnacentral:lncRNA from 1 species